GGCGCGUUCGUCUAGUGGCCUAGGACGCUGGCCUCUCACGCCGGUAACACGAGUUCAAAUCUCGUACGCGCUA
rnacentral:tRNA from 1 species